GACGAACGCUGGCGGCGUGCCUAAUACAUGCAAGUAGAACGCUGAAGGAGGAGCUUGCUUCUCCGGAUGAGUUGCGAACGGGUGAGUAACGCGUAGGUAACCUGCCUGGUAGCGGGGGAUAACUAUUGGAAACGAUAGCUAAUACCGCAUAACAGUAGAUAUUGCAUGAUAUCUGCUUGAAAGGUGCAAUUGCAUCACUACCAGAUGGACCUGCGUUGUAUUAGCUAGUUGGUGAGGUAACGGCUCACCAAGGCGACGAUACAUAGCCGACCUGAGAGGGGGAUCGGCCACACUGGGACUGAGACACGGCCCAGACUCCUACGGGAGGCAGCAGUAGGGAAUCUUCGGCAAUGGACGGAAGUCUGACCGAGCAACGCCGCGUGAGUGAAGAAGGGUUUCGGAUCGUAAAGCUCUGUUGUAAGAGAAGAACGAGUGUGAGAGUGGAAAGUUCACACUGUGACGGUAUCUUACCAGAAAGGGACGGCUAACUACGUG
rnacentral:rRNA from 1 species